rnacentral:rRNA from 1 species
GAUGAACGCUGGCGGCGUGCCUAAUACAUGCAAGUCGAGCGAACGGACGAGAAGCUUGCUUCUCUGAUGUUAGCGGCGGACGGGUGAGUAACACGUGGAUAACCUACCUAUAAGACUGGGAUAACUUCGGGAAACCGGAGCUAAUACCGGAUAAUAUUUUGAACCGCAUGGUUCAAAAGUGAAAGACGGUCUUGCUGUCACUUAUAGAUGGAUCCGCGCUGCAUUAGCUAGUUGGUAAGGUAACGGCUUACCAAGGCAACGAUGCAUAGCCGACCUGAGAGGGUGAUCGGCCACACUGGAACUGAGACACGGUCCAGACUCCUACGGGAGGCAGCAGUAGGGAAUCUUCCGCAAUGGGCGAAAGCCUGACGGAGCAACGCCGCGUGAGUGAUGAAGGUCUUCGGAUCGUAAAACUCUGUUAUUAGGGAAGAACAUAUGUGUAAGUAACUGUGCACAUCUUGACGGCACCUAAUCAGAAAGCCACGGCUAACUACGU